GGGGGGAGAUGUGGGGAGCACUGGGAGUUGUGGGGAGAUAUGAGGAGAUGUAGGGAGAUGUGUGGAGAUAUAGAGAGAGAUAUAGAGAUAUGAGGAGAUGUGGGGAGAAGUGGGGAGAUGUGUGGAGACAUGAGGAGAUAUAGGGAGAUGUGUGGAGAUAUAAGGAGAUAUAGGGAGAUAUAUGGAGAUAUGAGGAGAUGUGGGGAGAUGUGUGGAGACAUGAGGAGAUGUGUGAAGAUGUGGGGACAUAUAGGGAGAUGUGUGGAGAUAUAAGGAGAUAUAGGGAGAUAUAUGGAGAUAUGAGGAGAUGUGGGGAGAUGUGUGGAGACAUGAGGAGAUGUGUGAAGAUGUGGGGACGUGUGUGAAGAUGUGGGGACAAGUGGGGAGAUGUGUGGAGACAUGAGGAGAUAUAGGGAGAUGUGUGGAGAUAUAAGGAGAUAUAGGGAGAUAUAUGGAGAUAUGAGGAGAUGUGGGGAGAUGUGUGGAGACAUGAGGAGAUGUGUGAAGAUGUGGGGACGUGUGUGAAGAUGUGGGGACGUGUGUGGAGAUGUGGGGAGAUGUGUGGAGAUGUGGGAGAUAUGAGGAGAUGCAAGGAGAUGUAGGGACAUGUGAGGAGAUGUGUGGAGAUGUGGGGACCUGUGUGGAGACACAGGGAGAUAUGAAGAGAUGUGUGGAGCUGUGGGGAGAUAUGAGGAGAUGUGUGGAGAUGUAGGGACAUGUGUGGAGAUGUGGGGAGAUAUGAGGAGAUGUGUGGAGAUGUGGGGACAUAUGUGGAGAUGUGGGGAGAUAUGAGGAGAUGUGUGGAGAUGUAGGGACAUGUGUGGAGAUGUGGGGACAUGUGUGGGGAUGUGGGGAGAUAUG
ensembl:lncRNA